UUAUUACGAGAGUUUGAUCCUGGCUCAGGAUGAACGCUGGCGGCGUGCUUAACACAUGCAAGUCGAGCGAAGCACUUUAGUUGGAUUUCUUCGGAAUGACGGCUUUGGUGACUGAGCGGCGGACGGGUGAGUAACGCGUGGGCAACCUGCCUCACACAGGGGGAUAACAGUUAGAAAUGACUGCU
rnacentral:rRNA from 1 species